rnacentral:rRNA from 1 species
AUGGCUCCUGCUGAUUUGCCCUACUUUCAUCAAUCCUGCGUGGUGCAAAAGCUGCUUUCUGAUUGGCUGAUACAACCCUCCCACGGAUCGCGCAUAAGCACCGUCCACCCCCCUCGAUCCAACGGUCGAGGCUUCCGGAGGCUGCAUCGAGACAAGCAACGGCAGGCCCAACUCCACUCCCUCCCCGGGCUAACCCGUGCUCCGCUGGUCCGGUCGAGAAAAGGCUGGCGCCCCACCGCCCCUGCCGGAUUCGCUGAUCCAGCAGCCGGAUCCGCCGAUUCAGCAGUCGGAUCCGCCAAGCAGCCGGAUCCACCAAGGUCGUGCUGGGAUCCCGAGCUUCUGGUCCUCCCCUCCUUCUCCGUGGACGACAUGCAACAGAAACAUGCAAGGUACGCGCCACUGCUCCAGCCAAAGGAGGGCGCAAGGUGCGACACGACGGGGCAUGGUCCAGCUGGGCAUUACAGGUGCGGGUACCACCUCACCGGGGCGCGACUCCGACAGCCAACACCGGCGGCCAACUCUGAUCCACCGAACCCAGGCGCGGGCUCCGGCGGGAGUGCGGUUCUGCGUUCAUCAGGAGAGCGCGUGCCGAAGACAGCGCUGCCCCCGUACGUCGCCUUCAUCGACACCGAGCCCCUCAUCGGCGAGGCCGCCAAGAACCAGGUCGCAAUGAACCCCACCAACACCGUUUUCUGUGUAGCUGCUGACGAAUCUGCCAUGGUAAUUCCUGCAAUGGACAUGAUGCUGCUCAGGAGCUGCCUGUACCAGAGCAAGAAUGACAUCAUCGACUUCUACCUUCUCCAUCUCAAGGACAAAUCUCAUGCAACCCAUGGUGCUGCAUUUGACACGGGCAUUUGA